CUUCGGAACUGUUUGUGGGAAUUUGAUUCUCAAAUGACAAAACUUCUAUUUGAACAAUUCUGUAGUACUGUUGACAUAAAUCACAACUCUUCCAGUUGAGUUUUAUUGCAACUUGUCUAUAAUCUAAAAUAGGGGAAAGGGAAUUGGGUGUGAUUAUUUUUGUAUAGAUCAAAAACAAUAUAAUGUUAAUCUUGGAAAUCGGCCACCAACUUCAAUCAGUUAAAUGAAAAGUUGGUUUUGCUGUUCAAAACAUUCAUUUCAACUCAAGGACGUAAUUAACCAAUGCACAAUUUUUCAUGAGUUAAAGAAAAAUGUUAAUUGCAUGAUUUCUUCUUCCUAUCAUAAAUACAUAACAAAUAAUUAUGCAAUAUGUCUGAAUAUGUUACUUUACAACUUUGGGGCACUUAUUU